UAGAAAUCCAUGGCUUUUUCAAAACCAUAGACAUAAAAGCCAGCUAAUUUAUGCUGUGACAUCAGGCUGGUGAACACUGUUCGUGCAUGCAUGUUUUCUUGAUGUCCUUGUAUUACUGCCUUCAGCACUGUCCCUCCUAAUCAGGUAGCUGACACAAUGGAUGAACUGCACAACCAUCUGUCUUCCUUUGUCACAGUCAAAUCUACUAGGCCCUGGACAGGACAGGACCCCCAACCCGAAGGGGGUGACACCCCACCGACCCACCGGCGCCCAGUCGGCGAUCUGUGCCGGCGCCCAAGGAGGAUGCCCAGCUAAAAAACAAAGACCGGAGCCCCAACCCACCAACUCCCGCAACAGACAGCCCAGACGAAUAUGGAAACCCAUCCUGGGAGUACCACCAUAUGGAAAAGUGUGGGUCCCACCUACCGUCCUAUUACUGUUGCUGCCAGUUCCCUGACUGGCAGCCACUACACAGCAUCCUAAUGGGAUUGUGUGGGAAGGGUAGUGCAGUGUAUUUUUCAAAUCUUGCAAUUCUGCAAAGUCACUAAAACAUUCAAUCAGGUCAAAUUAUUGUACUAGUAUUUAAUCAAUGAUUUACAAUGAUUAGGGUUGUGGUGUUGGUGGUAGUGGGGGGCAGUAGCUACCUAUUAAAUAAAGGGGACUUGCCAUUUUUAUCAUAGAUUUUGAAUGCUUCAGAGGGUUUGAAAAAAAAAGUGGUGAAAGUGGAGCUGGAAUUCAAUUGUAUACUAAAAAAGUUCAAAAGUUCACACCGUUUGUAUCUCAUGUGUACUUUGGUAAUGGUUCUGGGCAAUUAACUUCUGACAGACAGACAGAAGGCUAAAACUGUCCCUGUUGUCUUCGUGUCCCUGUAGGGCAUACAUUACAAAAGCUUUGAUUUCUUGACAGCGUCACGCAAGCGUCUCCCAGUAUGGGUCCAAAAAAAUUAAAACAAUGAACCAUUAUUGACUGAGUCAACCAUCUGCCAAAAAUGUUAA